GGCCUGAUAGUUCAGUGGUAGAAUUCUUGCUUUGGGUGUAAGAGGUCUCCGGUUCAAUCCCGGAUUAGGCCC
rnacentral:tRNA from 7 species